UACGGGGGGAGCAAGCGUUGUUCGGAUUUACUGGGCGUAAAGGGCGCGUAGGCGGCAAUUUCAAGUCAUCUGUGAAAUCUCCGGGCUUAACCCGGAACGGUCAGAUGAUACUGCUUUGCUAGAGUGCGGAAGGGGCAAUCGGAAUUCUUGGUGUAGCGGUGAAAUGCGUAGAUAUCAAGAGGAACACCUGAGGUGAAGACGGGUUGCUGGGCCGACACUGACGCUGAUAGCGCGAAAGCCAGGGGAGCAAACGGG
rnacentral:rRNA from 1 species